CUCUGAUCAUUCUACUGGUCCUGUUCUGCAAGAGGAACAAAGAUGAUGUAGCAGCUGAACCCAGAGAUGUUACGUAUGCUGACGUUAGAUUCACACAGGACCCAGAACCCAGGAGAAGGAGAGACUGAUCCAGUCUACGCUGCAGUGAAGACCUCCAACACCACAGUGACCCUGUUCAUCAGAACGUCAUGGUGGGUGGAAAAAGAUGCUCUCUUCAGCUGCGGUGAAUAACCACAACCCUGUCAGUCCAUCUCUUUACUUCUCUUGUCGCUUCUCUUCUCUCUCCCUACUUCCCUUUUCACACCAACGCACUUAUCUUUAGACUCUUCGGCCUUGACCGCCAUCAUCAUCAUCAACAACAGAGACGUGUGAAGUUUCCACAACAAGAGUUAGUUUAUCAUGAGAACAUACAGACACCAUUGACUGGAACUAUCAACAACAAGAGUUAGUUUAUCAUGAGAACCUAGAACCAGCUGACAGUAUCAGUAUUACUACUAACAGAAGGAACGUUGUAGUGUUAUGUCCAUGAUGAAUGUUGUAACUGCUUCAUUACUACUAACAGAAGGAAU